rnacentral:rRNA from 1 species
UGUCUACGGCCAUAACACCCUGAAUGUGCUCAAUCUCUGAAGCUAAGCAGGGUUGGGGCUGGUUAGUACUUGGACAGGAGAUAUGCCACCAUGAUAC